rnacentral:rRNA from 1 species
GAGUUUGAUCUUGGCUCAGGAUGAACGCUGGCGGCGUGCCUAAUACAUGCAAGUCGAGCGAACGGACGAGAAGCUUGCUUCUCUGAUGUUAGCGGCGGACGGGUGAGUAACACGUGGAUAACCUACCUAUAAGACUGGGAUAACUUCGGGAAACCGGAGCUAAUACCGGAUGAUAUUUUGAACCGCAUGGUUCAAAAGUGAAAGACGGUCUUGCUGUCACUUAUAGAUGGAUCCGCGCUGCAUUAGCUAGUUGGUAAGGUAACGGCUUACCAAGGCAACGAUGCAUAGCCGACCUGAGAGGGUGAUCGGCCACACUGGAACUGAGACACGGUCCAGACUCCUACGGGAGGCAGCAGUAGGGAAUCUUCCGCAAUGGGCGAAAGCCUGACGGAGCAACGCCGCGUGAGUGAUGAAGGUCUUCGGAUCGUAAAACUCUGUUAUUAGGGAGAACAUAUGUGUAAGUAACUGUGCACAUCUUGACGGUACCUAAACUACAGAAAGCCACGGCUAACUACG